AGAGAGAGAGAGAGAGAGAGAGAGAGAGAGAGAGAGAGAGAGAGAGGUUUUCUUUUUCUUUUGCUUGGAGAACUGUUAAGUUUUCUAAGCGGACAUCAUGUGAAAGGAUGAGUUGAAGGUCUCUUUGUCUGGCAAAGAGUUUAGAGCCUUGAUUCAGUUGCAAAGAAGCCAAAUGAAGUUAGAAACAAAGGGCAAAUUGAAGAAUUCCGACUCUUGGCUUUUUGUGUUUUCCUUACUAGAAAAUAAUUAGACCUAAUGAAUAUGCAGGCGCUAAGGCUAAAUCCUGGGCCAAGCUGAUGGGCUUAAAACUGAGCUAAGUAGAACCGCAACCUCCAUCGCCCCCGGCUCCACAUCCGCGUGCAGUUUUUGAAAUGUAUAAAUGUCGCCCGGUUUAAUUGAUUGAGUUACAGGGAUUUUCCCCCUGCUUUUACGUGCCAUACCCCUCUACCUUUCAACAAUCAUUUUAAUAUAUAGUCAAUGGUUCUUUGUGGAUGGGACAAAAAGCAACUACGCGCAGUUGUUGAAUAGACUUUGCGCUGGGCAAAGACAGGUUAAUCGAGGGCCGCAUCGCGAAAACAAGCGAGUGUUGUAUGUUUGCACGGAAUCCAAAUGUCUGCAUUUUCCUAACUAAAUCAAAGGGAGUGUUAUUUCUUUUUCUGCUCACUCAUCUGAAGGUAAGUAAAUUUUCUCUGGCGAUCAAAAGCCUGGUUGGCAACAAAGACCGCGCCCGCUUUUUCCACCGUCUUGUUGUGGCAAGUUGCGGAAUUUCAAUAACUGUGACAAGGGUGACUGAUUUGUGAACUGGAAAAGGUUUGAAUGUCACAAAAUUUACAUUGGUCCUAUCUACCGGGGAUUUAAAUACCAAAAAAGUAUUCCGGGAUCUCUAGGGAGCUUUGGGAGAUCCAGAGGAACAAUGGCGCGUUGGGAAAUUUACAGUUUUACCUGAAUGAAAGGGACUGGGAUGGGAAUGGGAGGGCAGAGUGAGCGAGUUGGGGGUGGGAGCAAGCCACACAACGGACCAGACCGGAGGGG
rnacentral:lncRNA from 1 species